rnacentral:rRNA from 1 species
GACGAACGCUGGCGGCGUGCUUAACACAUGCAAGUCGAACGGAAAGGCCCUGCUUUUGUGGGGUGCUCGAGUGGCGAACGGGUGAGUAACACGUGAGUAACCUGCCCUUGACUUUGGGAUAACUUCAGGAAACUGGGGCUAAUACCGGAUAGGAGCUCCUGCAGCAUGGGGGGGGUUGGAAAGUUUGGGCGGUUGGGGAUGGAUUCGCGGCUUAUCAGCUUGUUGGUGGGGUAGUGGCUUACCAAGUGUUUGACGGAUAGGCGGCAUGAGAGGGUGACCGGCCCCAAGAGGACUGCGAGACGGCGCAGACGCCAACGGGAGACAGCGGUCGGAAACAUGGUACAGUGAGCGCAAGCGUGUGGCGGCAGCGCCCGGGUCGUGAUGACCGCCUUCGGGUUAUAAACCGCUUUCGCCUAUGACGAAGCGUGAGUGACGGUAACGGGUGAAUAAGCACCGGCUAACUACGUG